rnacentral:rRNA from 1 species
UACGGAGGGUGCGAGCGUUGUUCGGAAUCACUGGGCAUAAAGGGCGCGUAGGCGGCUUUCUAAGUCAGGGGUGAAAUCCGGCAGCUCAACUGUCGCAGUGCCUUUGAUACUGGAGAGCUCGAGGGAGGUAGGGGUCUGUGGAACUUCCGGUGGAGCGGUGAAAUGCGUAGAUAUCGGGAGGAACACCAGUGGCGAAGGCGACUACCUGGCCUGUUCUUGACGCUGAGGCGCGAAAGCUAGGGGAGCAAACGGG